rnacentral:rRNA from 1 species
GGUAGCGACGUGCCAGGAGCAGGGGGAAGAGGGCGGGGGCGGGCGGUGUGCGGAGUGACUGGACGGAAAGGGCGCGCAGGCGGCCGGCCAUGUGUGCGGUGAAAGCUCCCGGCUUAACGGGGAGAGGGCCGUGCAAACGGGGGGGCUUGAGGGUCGGAGAGGGGCAUGGAAUUCCGGGUGGAGCGGUGAAAUGCGUAGAGAUCCGGAAGAACACCAAUGGCGAAGGCAGUGCCCUGGCCGACGGCUGACGCUCAGGCGCGAAAGCGUGGGGAGCAAACAGGAUUAGAUACCCCGGUAGUC